AGUGAACGCUGGCGGUAGGCUUAACACAUGCAAGUCGAACGGCAGCACAGUAAGAGCUUGCUCUUACGGGUGGCGAGUGGCGGACGGGUGAGGAAUACAUCGGAAUCUACUUUUUCGUGGGGGAUAACGUAGGGAAACUUACUCUAAUACCGCAUACGACCUACGGGUGAAAGCAGUGGAUCUUCUGACCUUGCGCGAUUGAAUGAGCCGAUGCCGGAUUAGCUAGUUGGCGGGGUAAAUGCCCACCAAGGCGACGAUCCGUAGCUCGACUGAGAGGCGGGUCACCCACACUGGAACUGGGACACGGUCCAGACUCCUACGAGAGGCAGCAGUGGGGAAUAUUGGGCAAAGGGCGCAAACCUGAUCCAGCCAUACCGAGUGGGUGAAGAAGGCCUUCGGGUUGUAAAGCCCUUUUGUUGGGAAAGAAAAGCAGCAGGUUAAUACCCCGCUGUUCUGACGGUACCCAAAGAAUAAGCACCGGCUAACUUCGUG
rnacentral:rRNA from 1 species